rnacentral:misc_RNA from 1 species
GAAGAGUGUGUGGUGGACGCGGGUGCCAAGGAUUCGUAGCCCGGUGUCCGCCGUCGGUGUCGUCUCCUUCUGUGCGCUUCCGAGGUGUGAUCGCCGCUGCCGCACUGGAUACGUGCCGCGCUGGCCACAGAGCCCCGCCGGGAUUGUCGUUGCCACCGUCGCAUCUGCUCAACGUCGUAGUUGCUGCCGUCGCUUGUGUCUGCGUUCAACUGUCAAGCCUACUAUGAUAUAUGUCGAUGAGACAGAUCCAGAUGAAGAGCCCGAGCCUCCCUUCGAGCCUAGGCAAAUAAAGUUAAAGAAGAACCAGGAUGUCAAUACUGAAUACAAGCUCAGGGAUGAGUUGGGAAGGGGCAAAUUCGGCACGGUGUACCGCUGCGAGGAGAAAAAGACGGGCCGGAUCCUGGCGGCCAAGUUCAUCCUGACUCAGCGUGCAGAGGACCGCGCCGACGUGGAGCGCGAGGUGGAGAUCAUGCGCUCGCUCCAGCACCCGCGCCUGCUCCAGCUAUACGAUGCCUUCGACGACUCCAAGAAGCAGAUGAUCCUCAUUCUGGAGUUGAUCGAAGGCGGUGAGCUUUUUGAGCGAGUGAUUGAUGACGACUUCGUGCUCACGGAGAAAGCCUGCGCUAUCUUCGUGAGGCAAAUAUGCGAAGGUGUUGACUACAUGCACUCCAAAAACAUCCUCCACCUGGACAUGAAGCCGGAGAACGUGCUGUGCACCACGCGCACGGGCAAUCGCAUCAAGCUGAUCGACUUCGGCCUGGCGCGCUUCUACGAGCCGGGCAAGAAGCUGCAGGUGCUGUUUGGCACGCCGGAGUUUGUGGCUCCCGAGGUGGUCAACUUCGACAAGGUCGGAUACCAGACCGACAUGUGGAGCGUCGGCGUCAUCUGCUAUGUCCUGCUCUCAGGACUUUCACCUUUCAUGGGAAACAGUGAACUUGAGACUAUGGCGAACGUGACGAGAGCGGAGUAUGAUUUUGACGAUGAGAGCUUUGACCAGAUCUCCGAAGAAGCAAAAGACUUCAUAGCCAAGCUUCUGCUAAAAGACAAAGAAGACCGUAUGACAGCCUCCCAGGGCUUGAACCAUCCGUGGCUUCGGGUAGGUGUUACAACUCCUCUGCCUAUAGAGGAAAUUGAGGCGCCAGACUUUCAGAAAGAUAAGAAGAGAGAUGACACACAGCUGGACAAGAAGAAGCUGAAACGUUUCGUCAUCAGGAGGAGGUGGCAGAAAAUGGUGAACGCAUUUCUGGCCCUCAGGCGCAUGGGAGCCACCAUCUCGCCAUCUACGCCUUGAAUGCUUAACAGGUGGGCUGCGUGCUUCCCUCUCCGCAUAUCUACUACAACUGGGCUGUCCCACAUUAGUAUUGAACCUCGGAACCUUCCAAGACCCACCAUGUGUUCCCCGUGUCUUUCACCCCAAUUGAUCUUCACGAAAGAAGACUAACGUCACAUUUCAUCGAAUCACUUUUAUUGUGUAACUGCGUUGUCUCAUAUUUCGCGAAUGUCACGGGAUACCACGAACGUGCCUGAGAAUGUGUCCUACCUUUCUUAAAUUACCUCGUCAUUAAAGAAAGACGACAUAGUGAGCGCAAGUUUGUUUUAAAGAGAAAUGCAUGUAGGAAAGUUGCAUGAGGCUAUGAGUAAUUUCUCUUGCACCCUGCAUGCAAACUAUGCCUCAACAUUGCUUAAUCUGAAAUACAAUGGUAUAUUAAGAAUGCCAAUAAAUAUUUUGUGGUGGCUGGUUUCAAAUGGCCACCAAUUCAUGGUAUAAGCUAAAGCCAGUGAGAAUUAAAGCUUGGUUAACUUGCUGCUCAAAUGCGGAAUGUGGAACCAUAAUUGUCGUUCGUGUUGCAUUCUAUCUCAAAAAAAAGAAAAAAACAUUUUGUCAAUGCUUCCUGUAGGUUCUCGCACGGCAUUUUUUUAGAUAGAGUUAGAUCGAACGUGCCUUCAUUUUUUUAUAGUUUGCACAUAUGCCCUGCCCUGCCAUCGUAGAAACAUGACGUAUGCUGAGUUAACACCUUAGGGCCAUGUCACCUACUCGCCUAAAGUACUAAAAAAAAAAAAACAGCAAGCCGUUCGUUGCAUCUUUAGGAGAAGUGAAGCGUCUAUACAAGCCCAACCUCACGCCGAAAAACGGUCAUGCUCUUUGCGCCUGGUUUUCUACGCAAAUAUCCCACAAAUAAACUUUGCUGGAUGCAAAAUUAAUGUUUCCCAUUCCCAACUUUCUGUACAGUGGUGGCGUGGACUGUUUUUGUAUAAAGGUGUCCGUAAACUGUUACGAACGUUGCGCUUUCUGCUGAAAUGUUUAAUAAAGUUGUCUGUUUCUUACCAA